GGCAGGAUGGAGCAGUGGUAGCUCGCGGGGCUCAUAACCCCGAGGACGGUGGUUCGAAUCCGCCUCCUGCUA
rnacentral:tRNA from 1 species